rnacentral:tRNA from 1 species
ACAAAAGAAGCGAAGUUUUGCACUCAGUUUCGGCCUGAGCUUUGAUAUUAUUCCUUUUGUA